rnacentral:rRNA from 1 species
GGGGGGCACAGUAGGGAAUCUUCCACAAUGGACGCAAGUCUGAUGGAGCAACGCCGCGUGAGUGAAGAAGGUUUUCGGAUCGUAAAGCUCUGUUGUUGGUGAAGAAGGACAUGGGUAGUAACUGAUCUAUGUUUGACGGUAAUCAACCAGAAAGUCACGGCUAACUACGUGCCAGCAGCCGCGGUAAUACGUAGGUGGCAAGCGUUGUCCGGAUUUAUUGGGCGUAAAGCGAACGCAGGCGGGAGAACAAGUCAGCUGUGAAAGCCCUCGGCUUAACCGAGGAACGGCAACUGAAACUGUUUUUCUUGAGUGCAGAAGAGGAGAGUGGAACUCCAUGUGUAGCGGUGAAAUGCGUAGAUAUAUGGAAGAACACCAGUGGCGAAGGCGGCUCUCUGGUCUGUAACUGACGCUGAGGUUCGAAAGCAUGGGUAGCGAACAGGAUUAGAUACCCUGGUAGUCCAUGCCGUAAACGAUGAGUGCUAAGUGUUGGGAGGUUUCCGCCUCUCAGUGCUGCAGCUAACGCAUAAGCACUCCGCCCUGGGAGACGACC